CAGGUGUGGGUUGAAGCCCACUGGAGAUCUUGAGCUUGUGCUCUGCAGCAGGAGGUCUCUGCCCCAAGGACAGCGACCUGGCCCAAAGCAGAUUCGCCCCCAGGAGAACUGGGAAUGGAGGCCCAGGGUGGAAACAUGCAGUCCCCUCCCCAGGCCACGGAUUCCCCAGGGCUCAGGGCUGUGGUGGAAAGCCUCAUGCAGGCUAGUUGAUAUCUGGGGUCUCCAGGAAAACGGGUCUGCCCCCAGACUCCCCACCUGCUGGCCACAUGUCCCCUCCUCCUCUCCCCGCCCCUUAGGAAGAGCUCCUACAUGUUUAAAAAACUUAAAAAGAUGGACAAGAAGGCUGAUCGGCGGUGGUUCCAUGAGGAGGCGAAGUACCUGUUGAUGCGAUGGCAGGGGGACCAGAGGACACCCCAUUACCAGGAGAAUCAGGGCAUGGUCCCCUUCCUUGGAUAUAUUCUGGAUGACGUGCCCAUGGACCAACUCCCAGAACAU